rnacentral:rRNA from 1 species
UACCAGACUCCUACGGGAGGCAGCAGUGGGGAAUAUUGCACAAUGGGGGAAACCCCGAUGCAGCGACGCCGCGUGAGUGAAGAAGUAUUUCGGUAUGUAAAGCUCUAUCAGCAGGGAAGAAAAUGACGGUACCUGACUAAGAAGCCCCGGCUAACUACGUGCCAGCAGCCGCGGUAAUACGUAGGGGGCAAGCGUUAUCCGGAUUUACUGGGUGUAAAGGGAGCGUAGACGGCAUGGCAAGUCAGAUGUGAAAGCCCGGGGCUCAACCCCGGGACUGCAUUUGAAACUGUCAGGCUGGAGUGCAGGAGAGGUAAGUGGAAUUCCUAGUGUAGCGGUGAAAUGCGUAGAUAUUAGGAGGAACACCAGUGGCGAAGGCGGCUUACUGGACUGUAACUGACGUUGAGGCUCGAAAGCGUGGGGAGCAAACAGGAUUAGAUACCCCUGUA